AUGAGAGUUAGGCAUGUAUUAGAAUAUAAACCUAUCUACUGCUUCUAUAAUAAUAUUUCUACCUAGAUCUUCUCAAAGUUGCUUUGGUUUGGUUUAAAGUAAGAACAUAUUUACCAACUCAUAGUAGGGCUUACAGGCUUGGACAUGAGAGUUGUAAUGAGUUGGUUAUGCACUAAAGAAGCACCUCCAUUCAUUGGGCCAAAAUGGAGUCCAAAUCUUUGAACACAAAAGCCUGAUAAGUUUUGGCCUAUGUGCAAGUCCUUAUGGGCUCUAACUCGGAUGCAAAGCAUCACAAGCUGAUCCAACUAAAUAGGAGAUACAAAAAUAAAUUACUUCUAUAAUGGCAAUAGAUUCAAUUAGAAGCUCGCUUACCCUUGGCUGCUGCUUUCCACUUCAUGGCCCGGAUUUAUGUGACAUUUCUUAAUCUGAUGAUUUUCCCAUCUAGGUGAUCUUAAUUUCUUGAACUUUCCAGGAACCAGAGUUUUCAGUGGUAGUUCCAUUAAGGAGAUGCUUAAACUCCCAUUUUUAUUUUCACCCUCCUCUAUGGCCAUCAUAUCGUCUUUUUCUAUGGUCCUGGUAGUGAAAGAGUCAUUCAACUUUCUGGCAGCAUUCGCAGCAGACUCUUUCGAUUCGCAGCAAUGAUCAGAUUCGCCCUUUGACUCAACAGCACUUUUACUGCCUAUGUUUCCAACAUCUUUUGAUGUUUCAGUUUCCCACUUGAAGCUGUUUUCACCAUCCUUUGGGUUGUCACUGCCAGAUUCUGGAACCUUGACAUCGACUUUCCUUGCUGAGGUCCCUUCUCUCAAAUCACAAAAAUCAUCAAGAAUUGGAACAUUAACUAAUUUCCCCCUAUGUGCAGCACCUUCAUCACCAACAAACUCAAAUUGUUCAUUACCGAGAAGCAGCAUCUUUUCAUCACCAUCAUUGCAUUGAACCUUAUGCUUCUUCUCCUUGGGAUCAUAGGAAACUAUAUCACCUUCGUAGACCAUCUGCUCUUUUGAACAAAGGACUUUGAUCCUGGAACCAAUCAAAUCCUCACCAAAAUGCUUAUCAUCUGGAGCUAAACAAGUCUUUUCCUUCGUGGAAGUACCAUUCCUAGCAGAUUUUUCCAUGGGAAUUUCCUCCAAGGCAUUGGUCUCAUUUACUGUGGGCUCUGUAUUACAUUCAGCUGAAGGAAUAAUUUUCUACAAAGUCCAUUACCCAGUAAGCGUAUUAUGGUCAUUAAAAAAGGCAUUUGACAAAAAAAAUACAGUCAACAGAGUAACAUUUAUUGAAAAUGAAGUGACACCUCAUCAGAAAAAUUUCCAUUUAAAUCCUUUCUACAAUUGACUUUGCCUUUCCUUGACACUUUUUUAGCACUCUGCUGUAUUGCUGAUUCCUAAGUCAUUUAAGAAGAAAUUUCCAACAUAUCUUUAUCAUUUGAGAACAAAUAUGUCCAAAUUUGUGAGAUUGGUCUAAGGAAGAUGAACCACCAAUCUAUUGCUUGCAACUCUUCUUCUUAGGCUAGAAAGUUAAACUGCAUAUGGUUUAAAAUGCUCUAGAAGUUUUCAACAUAAAACCAUUGCAAAGCCAUUAAAAUUUAAAGAAUAAUUUAUUAUUGUUAGUGAAGUCACAAAUAUCAAUCAUAAAAGAAAUAGUUAGGCAAACCAUGGCAAGAUGCAUACCGCAUGUUUACCAGUAUUGUUAGCUUGAGAAGCAAGAACUUCAUUGUGCUCCAGAGGGUCGGAUUUAAUUGAGCAUAUAUAAGCAACAAUUUUACCAUAAUUGUCUAAAGGAAGGCCAGUAUAUUGCA
rnacentral:misc_RNA from 1 species